UCUACGGACACGUCGGAAAGCGCUCCUUCGAGUGGCGACGAAACCCGAGUCGGAGGACUCGCGGGGACGAACAUUCCUAAAAGAAGGGAAGGAAAAGGAGAAGGAGAAGGAGGAGAAGGACAACGACGACAACGACGUAAUCUCCAGGACCAGGGUCUCGACGAUACGCUCGUCCAUGGGUUACGCAACAUGUAACGCGACCGAUACACCUUCCAUCAUCAGCGUUACGUUGUCACGUCGGGGUUGCAGGAAUGAGAGCUCGAUGACGAUGCGCCUUUUCGAAGCGCUGCCGAGGUUAUGAGAGUGCAUCCCGCAUCCCGACCAUCGCCAGGGGAUUUCGCGUGCUUCGCGUCGCGUUCGUUCCACAGUGUUCCGAACUCAUAAACAUAGUACUUGUACUCUACACCGCGUGCGUUCGCGAGAGAACCGCGAGAGCCAAGUGACACGGAGUGACAAGUUGGUGACGAUCUCGGGAUUUCCAUCCGUCGAACUCGGUCCCUGGGGGCCUGUCGCGUGGUGUGAAACUCGGGAAUAGACAUCAUUUCGUGAGAAAAAGGUCGCCCCCGUAAACCCAGACCCCUCUCUCGCGAAGGACAGACUCUCCGAGUGUUUACGUUAUCGAGUGUUAUCGUGUUCGCACCAGGGCGCCAUUUUCGAUCGCUCGAGCGAGCGACGUGACUCUAGUCGGCGAGAGACGUGACCGUAGCGGUGCGCGUGUCGAGUAUUUGAGACUCGGAACUUCGAGACUCGGAGCUCCCCUCGCCGCGUCCCCCAUUCCCCCCUCCCCCGGCUGUCCCCGCGAUCGCGUGUGAAUCGUGCGUGCAUCGUUUACUCGAUCUCGGGUGAAUUGUGUGUACAUAUAAAUGGCGGCUGACGAACGAUGGUACUUUACGAGAGAGCAGCUUGCAAACACGCCGAGCAGGAGGUUCGGCAUCGACGCCGACAAGGAGCUGAGCUAUCGGCAGCAGGCGGCCAACUUCAUUCAGGACAUGGGACAAAGACUUGUGGUGUCGCAAUUAUGUAUCAACACAGCUAUAGUUUACAUGCACAGGUUCUAUGUGUUCCAUUCGCUAACCCAGUUCCACAGGAAUGCUAUUGCUGUGGCGUCACUUUUUUUAGCGGCAAAAGUAGAAGAACAGCCAAGGAAAUUAGAACAUGUCAUCAAAAUGGCUUACAUGUGUCUUCACAGAGAGCAAGCACCACCUGACAGUAGGUCCGAUGUAAGUUUCAAGAACAAUAAAGUACAAUUUCUUGAACAGGCUCAAGAUUUGGUGUUCAAUGAAAAUGUUCUCCUACAAACAUUAGGAUUUGAUGUUGCCAUUGAUCAUCCACACACUCAUGUUGUUAGAUGUUGUCAACUGGUAAAAGCAAGCAAAGAACUGGCUCAAACUUCAUAUUUCAUGGCAUCUAAUAGUUUACACUUGACAACAAUGUGUCUGCAAUAUAAGCCCACAGUUGUUGCUUGCUUUUGCAUACAUCUUGCAUGUAAAUGGUCUAAUUGGGAGAUACCCCAAAGUACCGAAGGAAGACAAUGGUUCUGGUAUGUAGAUAAGACUGUAACUGCAGAUUUACUUCAAGAACUCACAGACGAAUUCUUACACAUAUUUGACAAGUGCCCCUCAAGAUUGAAAAGGAAAAUUAUGAGUAUUUCCGCAAGUCAGAGCCCAAGCAUUCAUCAUCCAAGUCUCCCAAAUUCCCCAUUUGAUACCGAACCACGUAGAGUACAAUCUCCGGCAGUACCAACGGACAGUGCUACUGCUGCCGCCGUCGCUCAUUUAAUUCGUUCUCAUCAUUCGGUGGAUAAUACUGCUCCUGCUGCCGCUCAUUCAAAUCGAUCCCAUCAUACAACAGACAAUGUAGCUUCUACUUCUACCGCUACCGCCUCUGUUGCUGCUGUCGCUCAUUCGAGUCGGUCUCAUCAUACGACGGACGGUGCCGUCGCUCAUUCAAGUCGUUCUCAUCAUACGACAGAUGGUACUGUCGCAGUCGGUCAUUCAAGUCGUUCGCAUCACACGCAGCAGGAAAAACAGGAUGAGAAGAAAAUUGGGACCGUUGCAGGACUAUCGACAUCAAGGGCGGCGAUAGAUUAUCGAGAGUAUCGUGAAAAGAAGGAACGUGAACGUUUGGAACGGGAAAAGGCGGCGACAAUUGGAUCCCAUAUCGCCGAUCCUAACAAACCUCCUCAUCAUUCGCACCAUCACAAGCCCAUGUCGAACGUAAGCAUCCCGAGUAAGCAUCAGAUACCAGUGCAAAAGACGAAUCUUCAUCAUAAUCAUCAUCAUCGACCGGAUAUGAAGGUCGGUCAACCAGUGCCACAGAGACAUUCCGCUAGUGGUCAUCCUAAUCGCGAUCCUAAUAGACAACGAUUAUCGAGAGAACAUAAUACUGGUGUAACUGGCACAAGCGCUAGUAUUGUGCAUUCGUCACAUGCUCACGUUAAUUUAGAAAGUUCCUCGUCCGAGUCUGUGUCUCAUCGAUCGGACGCCAGCAGCGUUACGCAAGAGUCGGGAUAUGGUACUUCACAAGAGAAGAUAAGUAACAACAAUCACAGUGGACAUAGACUGAACGCACUUGAUAGUAAACAUCAAGCGCACGACAAGAGAUUAUACCGAGAAGAUCCGCGACUCAAAUCUGCCAAAUAUCCAGAUAUAAAUAAAAUCGAGAAUCAACGACGAAAAACAGAAACGUUAGAACAAAGAUGCGAGGAAGUGCGAAAGCUAAUCGAGAAACCGUUGCCGCCGCCGAAGCAAGCGGACAUGCCAUACCUAAUGAAUGCGCAACAGAAACAACAGGCGCAUCAUUCCAAAUAUAAUCAACAGCAAGACAAAUCUCAAAAUAGCUCAUUCACGGCCGAUACAAAGCAUGUGACGACGAUCGGUCAGAAUGCGCUUUCUCAGGAUGUAUCGCCGAGUGCUUCGUCGUCACAGAUGGCUCAAAAGUCUGCACCUAAGGCACAAAUAUACAAUCAACAUACCGCGCAAGGUGUAUCCCAGAUUCUCAAGGACACCAUCAAAAAUGGCAAUUCCCAAUCCUGUCUGAAUUUGAAUAACAUGGAUGAUCCGAAAUCGGAGAAACGACCACGAACGAUCGCGCACGAGGAUCCUACGGAGAGAAAUUCUAUCGACGUGCAGCAGAGUUCGCACUUACAUACACCGCCUAGCAAGCAUAGGUCACUCUUCAGUCCAGAGACGCCAACCACGCCUAGAGAAUCGCAUGUUCAAAGUAGCGCGAGGCCUAAAUCAAAGCAAAAGAUGCCACUCUCCGCAACCACGAAAGUGAAAGAACGCGUGUCACCGUUUGCAAAUUCUCCGACUUCGCAAGAUACGUCAGCGAUGAAACGUUCAUCUUCCAGCGAUGGAAUGACGUUCGCACAUAAGAGAUCUCGUACGUCGAGCAUUGGUGAGAACGAACAGCCCGUGAAAAUUAAAACAGAGAUAAAGACGGAAGAUACAUCCGGUCUGGAAGCGAUGAAAAUGUUUAGUCGCGUACCUGAUCUGAUACAACCAAUACGCGACAAUAACAGAAGUAGCAGCGCAUCGUCUGUCAUUAAUGAUCUGAAGCCCCCGGAACUCAUAAAACCGUUCGAAUCGGAUCCGCCGCGUUUUAAUGCGAUCGCGCAACAGAAAACCUCAUCUCUUAACGUGCACGCCCUGACAAAUGGUAUGGAUCUUAACGUAGAACAGGAAUUUCCGGAACAUCGCGUGAAAAAAGAGGCCUUGGAGUAUUAUAAGAAGAAGGAACAACCCAGGCUUUCGGAAUUGCCGCUGCAUUCUCACUUGCAACCGAAAGUCGAAUAUUCAUCGCCGAUCAAAUCCGCACAAAGUAUAAGUGCGUUACUCCAAGAACCAUUGGCACCGAUGCCAUCGCUGUUGCAGAAUCUGCAACAAAUUAGUAGUCAAGUAUCCUGUCAGCAAGGGCAUCAGGAACAAUUACAACAGCAUCAGCAACAACCUAUUCAUCAUUCGUUGACGGAUCAUCAGCUAACAGUGACAACUCCUUGCCUGUCUAUACCCACUGUGAGCGAUACUUUCACGUCAAUAGCCUCGACAGUUGAUAUCAGUGUUUUUUCCGAUAGUAUGCCAAUGAUGCUAUCAAAUAGUAACAACAAUAUGACGGAACCAACAACCUCCGAAUUGGUUCACACAGUGACGAUAGUUCCUUCGACCGAAGAGAAGCGGUCUGAACACCACAAGAGUGAGAAGAAAAAGAAAAAGGAAAAGCACAAGCACAAAGAUAGAGAGAAGAGUAAGGAGAAACAUAAGCACAAACACAAGGACAAGGUUAAAGAGAGGCAUCGGGAGAAAAAAGAGAGGAACGAGGAAACACCGGCGGCGGCGCCCAUCAGGAUCACGAUCCCGAAGGACAAGUUGAACCUAAGCACGGAAACAUCGUCGAGUAUGCUUAGUACAAGUUCCAACUCGUUGGAAAAUAAGAACAUAUCGCCGCAGGGCACGGGUUUGAAGAUCAAAAUUCCAAAGGAACGACUCAAGGGCACCGACAAUGUGCCUAAUUCACCCGCGCAGCUGCCGAUGGUGCAGGGUUCGUUAAAGAUCAAAAUACGUAAACCAAAUACCGACGGUAUUUCCAGGAGUUCCGCGCCGCUGCCGCCGCCAUCGUCGACAAACGGUUCGAGCUCUGCCCAAUUUUCUUCCGAAUCAUCUACGAACGAACCGGCGACGCGGAAGCGUUGCAUCGAGAUGACCGGCAACAGUUCGGUGACCCCCUGUAGCGGUCCCCCGCUACCUACGACAAAGAAGCAGACGAUGAUGAUACCCGCGACGAGUUACAGCCAAAGCCAUCGACCUGGAGAAAGGCAGAACGGCAGACAUUAUAACUCCGGCAGCAAUAAUAAGGAAAGACACACGUCCAGCCAUCACAAAAGCGCCAACAAGCUGUCGCAGUCUCAGCAGUUCCAUGCGACGUAGUAUGCUGUUGGACUAAAUAAUAAGGAAGUGUCCCAAGUGAUCUGCCCACUCUGAAGAGAAAAGAAAUAGACAGACAAAAAUUAGAGAGGAGAAGAGAUUUUGUAAGAUGCCUGACGAGACUUUGUGAAGACAGAAUCUUGAUAACGAGAAAAAAAAAAGAAGAAAAACUUGAAGAUUGCGUUGUUAGAUUCUCUCUUCGCACUAUUUCGUCUUAUUGUUAGAUAUUUCAUAUUUACCAUGUU
rnacentral:misc_RNA from 1 species